ensembl:snRNA U2 U2 spliceosomal RNA
AUUGCUUCUUGGCCUUUUGGCUAAGAUCAAGUGUAGUAUCUAUUUAUAUCAGUUUAAUAUCUGAUAAGUCCUCUAUCUGAGGACAAUAUAUUAAAUGGAUUUUUAGAAGUUGGAAUAGGAGCUUUCUCCAUCCACUCCAUGCAUUGACUUGGUAUUGCAGUACCUACAGGAUUGGGGCAACCCCU